ACGAACGCUGGCGGCGUGCCUAAUACAUGCAAGUAGAACGCUGAAGAGAGGAGCUUGCUCUUCUUGGAUGAGUUGCGAACGGGUGAGUAACGCGUAGGUAACCUGCCUUGUAGCGGGGGAUAACUAUUGGAAACGAUAGCUAAUACCGCAUAACAAUGGAUGACACAUGUCAUUUAUUUGAAAGGGGCAAUUGCUCCACUACAAGAUGGACCUGCGUUGUAUUAGCUAGUAGGUGAGGUAAUGGCUCACCUAGGCGACGAUACAUAGCCGACCUGAGAGGGUGAUCGGCCACACUGGGACUGAGACACGGCCCAGACUCCUACGGGAGGCAGCAGUAGGGAAUCUUCGGCAAUGGGGGCAACCCUGACCGAGCAACGCCGCGUGAGUGAAGAAGGUUUUCGGAUCGUAAAGCUCUGUUGUAAGUCAAGAACGGGUGUGAGAGUGGAAAGUUCACACUGUGACGGUAGCUUACCAGAAAGGGACGGCUAACUACGUGCCAGCAGCCGCGGUAAUACGUAGGUCCCGAGCGUUGUCCGGAUUUAUUGGGCGUAAAGCGAGCGCAGGCGGUUUGAUAAGUCUGAAGUUAAAGGCUGUGGCUCAACCAUAGUUCGCUUUGGAAACUGUCAAACUUGAGUGCAGAAGGGGAGAGUGGAAUUCCAUGUGUAGCGGUGAAAUGCGUAGAUAUAUGGAGGAACACCGGUGGCGAAAGCGGCUCUCUGGUCUGUAACUGACGCUGAGGCUCGAAAGCGUGGGGAGCGAACAGGAUUAGAUACCCUGGUAGUCCACGCCGUAAACGAUGAGUGCUAGGUGUUGGAUCCUUUCCGGGAUUCAGUGCCGCAGCUAACGCAUUAAGCACUCCGCCUGGGGAGUACGACCGCAAGGUUGAAACUCAAAGGAAUUGACGGGGGCCCGCACAAGCGGUGGAGCAUGUGGUUUAAUUCGAAGCAACGCGAAGAACCUUACCAGGUCUUGACAUCCCGAUGCUAUUUCUAGAGAUAGAAAGUUACUUCGGUACAUCGGUGACAGGUGGUGCAUGGUUGUCGUCAGCUCGUGUCGUGAGAUGUUGGGUUAAGUCCCGCAACGAGCGCAACCCCUAUUGUUAGUUGCCAUCAUUCAGUUGGGCACUCUAGCGAGACUGCCGGUAAUAAACCGGAGGAAGGUGGGGAUGACGUCAAAUCAUCAUGCCCCUUAUGACCUGGGCUACACACGUGCUACAAUGGUUGGUACAACGAGUUGCGAGUCGGUGACGGCGAGCUAAUCUCUUAAAGCCAAUCUCGGUUCGGAUUGUAGGCUGCAACUCGCCUACAUGAAGUCGGAAUCGCUAGUAAUCGCGGAUCAGCACGCCGCGGUGAAUACGUUCCCGGGCCUUGUACACACCGCCCGUCACACCACGAGAGUUUGUAACACCCGAAGUCGGUGAGGUAACCUUUUGGAGCCAGCCGCCUAAGGUGGGACAGAUGAUUGGGGUG
rnacentral:rRNA from 1 species